rnacentral:lncRNA from 1 species
CUCACCCCUCCAGGCACUGUGCCAGCGUCAGGGAACCAGAGCACAGAAGAAUUUGAAUUUAAAGGAGAGGAAAUUUAGACGCAGUCAUGAAAGUGCAGAGAAGUGAUUAAAAAUCACAGCAUCUCUACAUCUCUUUUCUGCUAAAAUUUUACCCCAGGAAACAUAACGUAAUUAGCUAAUCCUGCCUGCUGAAUAGUCUUGUAGUGUCAGCCCCCUCAUAACGUCUCCUGCUGGAGUUACAAUGCCUCACGGUGAUGGGACAUCACUACCACUUCUGAUGGACAUCCACUCUGAGUUGCAGCUGCCCUCUGCUUCUGGCUUAGCUGUGAACUUGGAAUUGAAUAUAAUAAAGAUCAUUUCAAAACUGCUGAAAUUACAAAAACUGCGCAUACACGCACAGUUCUGCCAGAUGAUAUUGCAGUGCAAAGCCCACUCUCACAGCACAUACAGUGUCUUCAUUCAGCAGGUGCAGCCCUGGUUAGUUCUGAGGCUCUCACACAAAAAGCCCAGCAAGCCUGGCCUCAACCACAGAGCUCUCCGGAUGUCUCUACUGCAGCACCUCAGGUCAGCAAGCUCACUUCAUCAGAGGUGAGCCUAAGAUAUUCCUCAGGAGCUCUUCUGCCAAAAGGUUGUCCCACGAGACAGAGAAGCAGUGUAAGCAAUGACGAGUGAUCUUCAGUCACACGGUAAUCGUUGAUUCCUUCCUGUGCAUGAGAUCUUGUGCUGUUGAGACCAGACACAGGUGGUGAGCACCUCAAGAAGAAUUAAAAAGCACAUCGAAUUUUGUCACAGGCAGUCUGGAAAAUGUUUGUUGUUUUGUUUUGUUUUUUUAAUUAAAGAAUUCAACACUAACUGCCAAUUAAAAGGAACCGCAGAAACAGUCUGUUAACUAUUUAAAGAACACAAUUACGCUGCUCAC